rnacentral:rRNA from 1 species
UACGUAGGGGGCAAGCGUUGUCCGGAUUUAUUGGGCGUAAAGAGCGUGUAGGCGGCCAGGUAGGUCGGUUGUGAAAACUGGAGGCUCAACCUUCAGAGGUCGACCGAAACCAUCUGGCUAGAGUCCGGGAGAGGAGAGUGGAAUUCCAGGUGUAGCGGUGAAAUGCGUAGAUAUCUGGAGGAACACCGGUGGCGAAGGCGGCGUCCUGGACCAACACUGACACUGAGGAGCGAAAGCCAGGGGAGCAAACGGG